AAUGAACGUUGGCGGCGUGGAUUAGGCAUGCAAGUCGAGCGAGAAGUCUGUGAGUGAUCCUUCGGGUGAACGAUCAGACGGACAGCGGCAGACGGCGUAGUAAUGGAUAGGUAACGUACCCUCAGGUCGGGAAUAGCCACGGGAAACUGUGGGUAAUGCCCGAUAACAUCUCCGGAUCAAAGGUGUGAUUCCGCCUGAGGAGCGGCUUAUUUGGUAUUAACUAGUUGGUGGGGUAAUGGCCUACCAAGGUUUUGAUGCUUAGGGGGUGUGAGAGCAUGGCCCCCACGACCGGGACUGAGACACUGCCCGGACAUCUACGGAUGGCUGCAGUCGAGAAUCUUCCGCAAUGGGCGCAAGCCUGACGGAGCGACGCCGCGUGUGGGAUGACGGCCCUUGGGUUGUAAACCACUGUCAGAGGGGAUGAAAUUCUUGGGGGCUAUCCCCCUUGAUUGACAGAGCCUCAGAGGAAGCACGGGCUAAGUACG
rnacentral:rRNA from 1 species